AUUGAACGCUGGCGGCAGGCCUAACACAUGCAAGUCGAACGGUAACAGAAAGCAGCUUGCUGCUUUGCUGACGAGUGGCGGACGGGUGAUUAAUGUCUGGGAAACUGCCUGAUGGAGGUGGAUAACUACUGGAAACGGUAGCUAAUACCGCAUAACGUCGCAAGACCAAAGAGGGGGACCUUCGGGCCUCUUGCCAUCGGAUGUGCCCAGAUGUGAUUAGCUAGUAGGUGGGGUAACGGCUCACCUAGGCGACGAUCCCUAGCUGGUCUGAGAGGAUGACCAGCCACACUGGAACUGAGACACGGUCCAGACUCCUACGGGAGGCAGCAGUGGGGAAUAUUGCACAAUGGGCGCAAGCCUGAUGCAGCAAUGCCGCGUGUAUGAAGAAGGCCUUCGGGUUGUAAAGUACUUUCAGAGGGGAGGAAGGGAGUAAAGUUAAUACCUGGGCUCAUUGACGGUACCCGAAGAAGAAGCACCGGCUAACUCCGUG
rnacentral:rRNA from 1 species